AUUGAACGCUGGCGGCAUGCUUUACACAUGCAAGUCGAACGGUAACAGGUCUUCGGCUGCUGACGAGUGGCGCACGGGUGAGUAAUACAUCGGAACGUGCCUAGUAGUGGGGGAUAACUACUCGAAAGAGUAGCUAAUACCGCAUGAGAUCUACGGAUGAAAGCAGGGGACCUUCGGGCCUUGUGCUACUAGAGCGGCUGAUGGCAGAUUAGGUAGUUGGUGGGGUAAAGGCUUACCAAGCCUGCGAUCUGUAGCUGGUCUGAGAGGACGACCAGCCACACUGGGACUGAGACACGGCCCAGACUCCUACGGGAGGCAGCAGUGGGGAAUUUUGGACAAUGGGCGAAAGCCUGAUCCAGCAAUGCCGCGUGCAGGAUGAAGGCCCUCGGGUUGUAAACUGCUUUUGUACGGAACGAAAAGCCUGGGGCUAAUAUCCCCGGGUCAUGACGGUACCGUAAGAAUAAGCACCGGCUAACUACGUG
rnacentral:rRNA from 1 species